UUGAACGCUGGCGGCAUGCUUUACACAUGCCAGUCGAACGGCAGCGCGGGCUUCGGCCUGGCGGCGAGUGGCGAACGGGUGAGUAAUACAUCGGAACGUGCCCAGUAGUGGGGGAUAGCUCGGCGAAAGCCGGAUUAAUACCGCAUACGACCUGAGGGUGAAAGCGGGGGAUCUUCGGACCUCGCGCUAUUGGAGCGGCCGAUGGCAGAUUAGCUAGUUGGUGGGGUAAAGGCCUACCAAGGCGACGAUCUGUAGCUGGUCUGAGAGGACGACCAGCCACACUGGGACUGAGACACGGCCCAGACUCCUACGGGAGGCAGCAGUGGGGAAUUUUGGACAAUGGGCGAAAGCCUGAUCCAGCAAUGCCGCGUAUGUGAUGAAGGCCUUCGGGUUGUAAAGCACUUUUGGCGGGAACGAAAAGGACUGUGCCAAUACCACGGUUCGAUGACGGUACCCGCAGAAUAAGCACCGGCUAACUACGUG
rnacentral:rRNA from 1 species